rnacentral:tRNA from 1 species
CUCCCUGUGGCUCAGUUGGUAGAGCAUGUUUUUUGCAAUGCCAGGGUUGUGGGUUCAAUUCCCACGGGGGGC